rnacentral:tRNA from 1 species
AAAGACUUAAGUUAAGCAAACUGAGAGCCUUCAAAGCUCUUAAUAAGAAUGAAACCUUCUUAGUCUUUG